CGUUCCAUGCAGGAGUCGAACCUGCACCUCUAGCUUACGGGGCAGUUGUGUUACCAUUUACACUACCGGUAC